rnacentral:rRNA from 1 species
AUGAGCAGACGGCCCGCGCCCGUGCUCCUGUCGCCCCCUCGUCCAGGAGUUCCACGAGGAGAGGAGUUCCUCUUCGUCGCCCCAAGCAGCAGCUGCGCCCGAGUGCUCCUCUCCACGCCAGCAUCCCCGUCCCGUACCUUCCUCGACGCCUACAUCUCCUCCGGCAACGCUGCAGUGCCCGCAGCCGCCUCCGUUCCCGAACAAAAAGAGGAGCCCGGCGCUCUUGCAGUGCCGGCCUUCCUCGACGCCGCCGUGGAUGCCAGGGACUCACCCGUGCGCCUCCUCGUUUCCUCCAUCCAUGGAGACGAGCUCCUCGAACCAAGGCUGUGCCCCUGCUUUCCUUCCCUCUUCCAUGAGUUCGCUCUCUCUCAUGUCUCACUCUCCUGA